GUCUUGCAAUUGGAUUGAGAACAAUGUACAACUCUUAUCGAUAAGCCAUUGGAGGGCAAGUCUGGUGCCAGCAGCCGCGGUAAUUCCAGCUCCAAUAGCGUAUAUUAACGUUGUUGCAGUUAAAAAGCUCGUAGUUGAAGUGUGGGUGAUCGCUGUUGUGAGACUUCGGUCUCUCGACAGUAAGUCACCCCCUUCCAGUAUCCAGUAGUGGGUAUUCAGUUACUUACUAUUGUGUGUUGGUCGUUUACUGUGAGAAAAUUAGAGUGUUCAAAGCAGGCGUUUGCUUGAAUAGAUUAGCAUGGAAUAAUAAUUGAAGGCUUUCGUGUUCGAUUUGAUUGGUUUGUUCAUGGAAGCAAGGUUAAAAGGAACAGUUGGGGGUAUUCAUAUUCACUAGUUAGAGGUGAAAUUCUCGGAUUUAUGGAAGAUGAACAA
rnacentral:rRNA from 1 species